UUGCACUUGGACGGUAGGCCAGUGACUCUCAUUGCACUUGGAGGGUACGCUGACUUACCAUCUCCCCAAGGGUACGCUGACUUACCAUCUCCCCAAGUGGGAGAGUGGACGUCAUAAUUUGUGUUAGAGGGGUCAUAAUUUGUCCAGUGACUCUC